rnacentral:rRNA from 1 species
UACGUAGGUGGCAAGCGUUUGUCCGGAAUCAUUGGGCGUAAAGAGCGCGUAGGCGGCCCGAUAAGUCCGCUGUGAAAGUCAAGGGCUCAACCCUUGAAUGCCGGUGGAUACUGUCGGGCUAGAGUCCGGAAGAGGCGAGUGGAAUUCCCGGUGUAGCGGUGAAAUGCGCAGAUAUCGGGAGGAACACCGGUGGCGAAGGCGGUUCUCUGGGCCUUACCUGACGCUGAGGAGCGAAAGCGUGGGGAGCGAACAGG